rnacentral:rRNA from 1 species
UACGUAGGGACCGAGCGUUGUCCGGAAUCAUUGGGCGUAAAGAGCGUGUAGGCGGCCACUUAAGUCCUGCGUGAAAUCUUGCGGCUCAACCGCAAGCGGUCGUGGGAAACUGGGUGGCUAGAGUGCGGGAGAGGAGAGUGGAAUUCCUGGUGUAGCGGUGAAAUGCGCAGAUAUCGGGAAGAACACCCGUGGCGAAGGCGGCUCUCUGGGACGGUACUGACGCUGAGACGCGAAAGCGUGGGGAGCGAACAGG